rnacentral:rRNA from 1 species
GACGAACGCUGGCGGCGUGCUUAACACAUGCAAGUCGAACGGAAAGGCCCUGCUUUUGUGGGGUGCUCGAGUGGCGAACGGGUGAGUAACACGUGAGUAACCUGCCCUUGACUUUGGGAUAACUUCAGGAAACUGGGGCUAAUACCGGAUAGGAGCUCCUGCUGCAUGGUGGGGGUUGGAAAGUUUCGGCGGUUGGGGAUGGACUCGCGGCUUAUCAGCUUGUUGGUGGGGUAGUGGCUUACCAAGGCUUUGACGGGUAGCCGGCCUGAGAGGGUGACCGGCGACAUUGGGACUGAGGUACGGCCCAGUCUCCUACGGGAGGCAGCAGUGGGGAAUAUUGCACAAUGGGCGGAAGCCUGAUGCAGCAACGCCGCGUGCGGGAUGACGGCCUUCGGGUUGUAAACCGCUUUCGCCUGUGACAAAGCGUGAGUGACGGUAAUGGGUAAAGAAGCACCGGCUAACUACGUG